ACUCCUACGGGAGGCAGCAGUGGGGAAUAUUGCACAAUGGGCGCAAGCCUGAUGCAGCCAUGCCGCGUGUAUGAAGAAGGCCUUCGGGUUGUAAAGUACUUUCAGCAGUGAGGAAGGCGGGUACGUUAAUAGCGUGCUCGUUUGACGUUAGCUGCAGAAGAAAGCACCGGCUAACUCCGUGCCAGCAGCCGCGGUAAUACGGAGGGUGCGAGCGUUAAUCGGAAUUACUGGGCGUAAAGCGCAUGCAGGUGGUUUGUUAAGUCAGAUGUGAAAGCCCGGGGCUCACCUCGGAAUUGCAUUUGAAACUGGCAGACUAGAGUACUGUAGAGGGGGGUAGAAUUUCAGGUGUAGCGGUGAAAUGCGUAGAGAUCUGAAGGAAUACCGGUGGCGAAGGCGGCCCCCUGGACAGAUACUGACACUCAGAUGCGAAAGCGUGGGGAGCAAACAGGAUUAGAUACCCUGGUAGGAUAGCG
rnacentral:rRNA from 1 species